rnacentral:sRNA from 1 species
UUGUUCCUGUUAGAUAUGUAUGUGUUCUGGGUUGUGACGUAAAGUGUUUUUACUAUGGAGUACAAUGAGAGAUUUGAAAGCCAUUUUUCUAGAAUGAUCAGGUUAUAUUUGAUAUGAAACAAUUUUAAAAAAUAAUUUUCCUCAUAUGUUUUAGGUGUGAGUUCUUGAUACGAAUGAAAGGCCAAGAGUUUGUUGAUGAGAUUCAAGGUAGAUAUCCUCAUCUUCUUGAACAGCUGUUGUCAACUUCAGAUACCACUGGAGAAGAAAAUGCUGACCCACCAAUUAUUCAUUUUGGACCUGGAGAAAGUUCUUCAGAAGAUGCUGUCAUGAUGAAUACACCUGUGGUUAAAUCUGCCCUGGAAAUGGGCUUUAAUAGAGACCUGGUGAAACAAACAGUUCAAAGUAAAAUCCUGACAACUGGAGAGAACUACAAAACAGUUAAUGAUAUUGUAUCAGCACUUCUUAAUGCUGAAGAUGAAAAAAGAGAAGAGGAGAAGGAAAAACAAGCUGAAGAAAUGGCAUCAGAUGAUUUGUCAUUAAUUCGGAAGAAUAGAAUGGCUCUCUUUCAACAAUUGACGUGUGUGCUUCCUAUCCUGGAUAAUCUUUUAAAGGCCAAUGUAAUUAAUA